AGAUAUGAUAAUAUGGCAAAUCGAUGGAUAUUUUUCUUUGCUACAGCCGAAAUUAAAUAGUAUGUAAAACUUGAUGAUCCAGCGGUCAACUCCAACAGAGCUAAUAUUUUUUACGCUACUUGCCCAUAAUACAGUGUGAAAAAUAGCGAUCUAUUUAAUCGAUGAAAUUUAUCAUUUAUUAAUGAAUUAUUUCUUAUGCAAUUGAUAUUAUAUCUUUUAUUGCAAAGGUAGGCAAUAAAGACUGGUUUAGAGCCACGCAAAUGAUAGUGUAAAAAAAGAAACAUGCUCCUUGUGUAUAUUACUUCUAGCAAUGGAGGUACAAACUUUUCAGUUUUGAAUAAAAACGGAAUGUAAGAACCAAUGGGGAACGAAAACAAUAAAAUAAAAUUCUGGGAAGAAGAAAUUUAGAAAUGAAUAGCACGACUGACUCAAUUCUUUGGCAAGAACUUGACCGGAACGAGCUGAAUAUAAACAAACAGCACGAUUUAAAUUUUGUCCUCUAAUUAUGUCUUUUCAGUAAAGCAUGUAUGAGGUUUACACAAUAUGUCUAUUUAAAAAGAAGGCAUUAAAACUCAACUUCUAGGCAAAAUGGAAUAGCUCAAAACAAUAGCUAAACCUCAAAGUGUAUUAGUGUAGCAAUCCGGCCAUCCAUAGACAAAAAAGAAAGCCAGGAAUUAUUAAAGAUAUUUGUGGAACUUUAAAACGUCAACAGAUGGUUUGGAAU